UACGUAGGGUCCGAGCGUUGUCCGGAAUUACUGGGCGUAAAGGGCUCGUAGGUGGCCAACUAAGUCGGACGUGAAAUCCCUCGGCUUAACCGGGGAACUGCGUCUGAUACUGGAUGGCUUGAGUUCGGGAGAGGGAUGCGGAAUUCCAGGUGUAGCGGUGAAAUGCGUAGAUAUCUGGAGGAACACCGGUGGCGAAGGCGGCAUCCUGGACCGACACUGACGCUGAGGAGCGAAAGCCAGGGGAGCAAACAGG
rnacentral:rRNA from 1 species